rnacentral:rRNA from 1 species
GCAAAGAUUAAACCUUGUACCUUUUGCAUCAUGAUUCAGCAAGUAAACUCAAGCAAAGAGAACUCUAGUUUGAACCCCCGAAACUUGACGAGCUACUCCGGGACAGCUAAUUAUGAGCCAACCCGUCUCUGUGGCAAAAGAGUGGGAAGAUCCCUGAGUAGAGGCAAAAAACCUACCGAGCCAAGUUAUAGCUGGUUGCCCAAUAAAUGAAUAAAAGUUCAGCCCCACCCAGCCCAACUCGAAACAGUACAACUACCAAAGACAAAGAGCUUGCGUGGAGGUUAGUCAGAGGAGGAACAGCUCCCCUGAUCAAGGAUACAACCUUAGUAGGAGGCUAUAGAAUAUUAUUAGCAAGGCUUAAGGUUGCAGUGGGCCUGAAAGCAGCCACCUGACCAGAAAGCGUUAAAGCUCUAACCCCAUCAAAAGCCCAUUAUUUUAUUUUUUAAACUAACCCCCUACCCCCUCAUUGGGCCUCCCUAUGCCUCCGCCAUAGGAGAGAUCAUGCUGAAACGAGUAACAGGAAGAACGAACUUCUCCGAGCACAAGUGUACGUCAGAUUGGACUAACCACCGACAACUAACGAGCCCAAUAGAAGAGGGCCCUACAGAUCCGCCACCUUAAGCCAAGAAAAAUCUGUUGUACUUUUAUCGUUACCCCUACACAGGAGUGCUAGAACAAGGAAAGACUUAAAGAAGAAAAAGGAACUCGGCAAACCUAAACCCCGCCUGUUUACCAAAAACACCGCCUCUUGCUUAAUGAAAUAUAAGAGGUCCCACCU